rnacentral:snRNA from 1 species
GUGCUCACUUGGCAGCCCAUACACUACAACUGGAAUACAGAGAAGAUUAUCACGGUCCCUGAACAGGAUAACAUGCAAAUUCAUGAAGUAUUUCUUUUUUUU